rnacentral:rRNA from 1 species
CACGUAGGGUGCGAGCGUUGUCCGGAAUUAUUGGGCGUAAAGAGCACGUAGGCGGUGUGUCACGUCGGCCGUGAAAACCUGCAGCUUAACUGUGGGCGUGCGGUCGAUACGGGCAUCACUGGAGUUCGGCAGGGGAGACUGGAAUUCCUGGUGUAGCGGUGAAAUGCGCAGAUAUCAGGAGGAACACCGGUGGCGAAGGCGGGUCUCUGGGCCGAUACUGACGCUGAGGAGCGAAAGCGUGGGGAGCAAACAGG